ensembl:lncRNA
GGCACUUUUAUCUUUUGUAGCUGUUACAGUUAUUCCACCAUAAUGUGUUACAGAACACUCAAUAGUCGAAUGUACUGUCUUUACCACACCUGUGCGUGUCAGAGUGAUUUUCCACAGGCCGUCUUUAAUAUGCUCAUUGUCUAUUUGAUCAGAUCCUUCUAUACCGUUCAGAGUGAUGGCUGGUUUGCUGUAUGGACACGUAUGGAAAGUUGAACAUUCUACUGUGAUGGCGUCACCUGUCCUUUCACCUCCGAAAAUUUUUAUGCUGGGCUGCUGUGGACUUGCUACAAAUAGCAGAAAUGUCACACUUAAGCAACACACUCUCACAACUAGAUCACGAGUUAAAGAAAGAACAAAGUAUUUACAUACCUUUGACAAGGAUUGUAGAAGUGACAUCAUAAAAUGUGUAGGUGCGAUACCCAAUGUUUUCAGGGUCAAUCCAUGCAUAUAAUCUUUCUCCAUGGUGGGAUGGUUCCAGGUUUUUGAUCAGCAGACUGCAAUCCCCACUUGAGCUUUUAUAUAAAUCAGUUUUUCCUCUGAACUUCUCAAUGACAUUGUCUGCAUGCAAAGGAUCGUAAACUAAAGGAUAACCUCUAGACACCCACUGAUACCACACAACUCUACGUGGGUUUUUGGGUGGGUUUGAUGAGUAGCUGAAAGAACAUGGAAUGACCAGACAGGAACCUUUGAGGCCAUGAAUGUCUUGCGGCAUUCUCACUUCCCAUCCAAAAGCAUCAUAGAGCAGAACACCUGUGGAACAAAAGUUGGAGUCAUUACAUGUUCAUUUAGGCUGAAAAUUUUAGCAUUUCAUUUGGCCCAUAUUUUUUUCUUUUAGUUUAGCACACUAUAAUACACUAAACUUUGCAGAUUUCAUAAGUGUCAGUAAUAGAGCUGAUUUGGUGUAUAGUAUGAGAAAUUUAUUAAAUUAGUCAUAAAAUGUAAUGGGCAUGUGUCAAUCAUCAUUUUAUAUUGUGAUUAGAAAUAACGUUCUUUUCAUAUUGACCAAGAAAAAAAAAAAAAAAGAAACAACACCUAUAUUCAAAUAGAGUCUAGAUUUAAAUGAAAUUCAAUGAUUUGGCAGAGUUUGUUUUUAGUCACAGUACUUGUCAAUUAUACAGCAUUUGUUAGUCUGUCUAGACUUCAUUGGUAGAGCCUCCAUUUUGAUCUGUAGUCCUUUACCACCUCCAACUUGAGGCGACAAAAAAUUCCUACCCUUGAGAACUCACCCUUGAAAUGCCACACAGACACACAGUUUACACUGUAAAGGCUAAUGCUUCUGCACAAUGACUUUGGGUUUCAAAAUGUUGUCAAAUUUUUUUGAUCUUGUGAGUGUAAGGCAGAUUAUUAUUUUUUUUGUCUGCUGUGAAUAAAGUUGUCCCUG